rnacentral:snRNA from 1 species
AUCGCUUCUCGGCCUUUUGGCUAAGAUCAAGUGUAGUAUCUGUUCUUAUCAGUUUAAAAAGAUGUUUGGUCCACCUGAGCUCUUUCUACACCUGCU